rnacentral:rRNA from 1 species
UACGUAGGUGGCGAGCGUUGUCCGGAAUCAUUGGGCGUAAAGGGCGCGUAGGCGGCCCUCCUUGUCGCGUGUGAAAGCCCCGGGCUCAACCUGGGAACGGCGCGCGAGACGGGGGGGCUGGAGUUCGGGAGAGGAGCGUGGAAUUCCCAGUGUAGAGGUGAAAUUCGUAGAUAUUGGGAAGAACACCGGUGGCGAAGGCGGCGCUCUGGACCGAGACUGACGCUGAGGCGCGAAAGCGUGGGGAGCAAACAGG